GGGUUCAACAUAACAUUUGAUUAGCACGGACUGAAGCGAUCUUUAGAAAUACUACGAGGGAUGAAAUAGUUCAAAUAUAGACGAUUCAGCGUGAAAUUAUUGUCAACAAACCCACGUGGAGUACAAAUGAUUUACAAUGGUUGACUGGAAGUGACAGGCCUUCUCUUCAAAAUAAACAAGAUGUGUCCCUGCUACGGAGGCACCUAACAGAAAGUGGAUAUAAUUAAGAUUGCAUUGUGGAUUUGCCCUGUGCCACCUCUAAAUGGCAGAAGAAAACUCAACUCAGCACAACCAGAAACACUUUUCUGAAGAAAAUUCUGCCAAGAGACAGUUGUGAAGGGAAUCGUGUAGAUAAUCUCCAGAAAAGAAAUCACCACUGAUAUUAGGAUGUAUGUAACAAUAUUUUAAUACAAUCAUCAAAGACAAAUU